rnacentral:rRNA from 1 species
GAUGAACGCUGGCGGCGUGCCUAAUACAUGCAAGUCGAGCGAACAGACGAGGAGCUUGCUCCUCUGACGUUAGCGGCGGACGGGUGAGUAACACGUGGAUAACCUACCUAUAAGACAGGGAUAACUUCGGGAAACCGGAGCUAAUACCGGAUAAUAUAUUGAACCGCAUGGUUCAAUAGUGAAAGACGGUUUUGCUGUCACUUAUAGAUGGAUCCGCGCCGCAUUAGCUAGUUGGUAAGGUAACGGCUUACCAAGGCAACGAUGCGUAGCCGACCUGAGAGGGUGAUCGGCCACACUGGAACUGAGACACGGUCCAGACUCCUACGGGAGGCAGCAGUAGGGAAUCUUCCGCAAUGGGCGAAAGCCUGACGGAGCAACGCCGCGUGAGUGAUGAAGGUCUUCGGAUCGUAAAACUCUGUUAUUAGGGAAGAACAAAUGUGUAUGUAACUAUGCACGUCUUGACGGUACCUAAUCAGAAAGCCACGGCUAACUACGUG